UUUACGGCCACAUCAUGUUGAAACACUGGUCCUCGUCCGAUCACCGAACGUAAGCAACAAUGAGCCGGGCCAGUACCAAGUUGGGUAACCACUAGGGAAUACCAGGA